rnacentral:rRNA from 1 species
GACGAACGCUGGCGGCGUGCUUAACACAUGCAAGUCGAACGGAAAGGCCCUGCUUUUGUGGGGUGCUCGAGUGGCGAACGGGUGAGUAACACGUGAGUAACCUGCCCUUGACUUUGGGAUAACUUCAGGAAACUGGGGCUAAUACCGGAUAGGAGCUCCUGCUGCAUGGUGGGGGUUGGAAAGUUUCGGCGGUUGGGGAUGGACUCGCGGCUUAUCAGCUUGUUGGUGGGGUAGUGGCUUACCAAGGCUUUGACGGGUAGCCGGCCUGAGAGGGUGACCGGCCACAUUGGGACUGAGAUACGGCCCAGACUCCUACGGGAGGCAGCAGUGGGGAAUAUUGCACAAUGGGCGGAAGCCUGAUGCAGCAACGCCGCGUGCGGGAUGACGGCCUUCGGGUUGUAAACCGCUUUCGCCUGUGACGAAGCGUGAGUGACGGUAAUGGGUAAAGAAGCACCGGCUAACUACGUGCCAGCAGCCGCGGUGAUACGUAGGGUGCGAGCGUUGUCCGGAUUUAUUGGGCGUAAAGGGCUCGUAGGUGGUUGAUCGCGUCGGAAGUGUAAUCUUGGGGCUUAACCCUGAGCGUGCUUUCGAUACGGGUUGACUUGAGGAAGGUAGGGGAGAAUGGAAUUCCUGGUGGAGCGGUGGAAUGCGCAGAUAUCAGGAGGAACACCAGUGGCGAAGGCGGUUCUCUGGGCCUUUCCUGACGCUGAGGAGCGAAAGCGUGGGGAGCGAACAGGCUUAGAUACCCUGGUAGUCCACGCUGUAAACGGUGGGUACUAGGUGUGGGGUCCAUUCCACGGGUUCCGUGCCGUAGCUAACGCUUUAAGUACCCCGCCUGGGGAGUACGGCCGCAAGGCUAAAACUCAAAGGAAUUGACGGGGCCCCGCACAAGCGGCGGAGCAUGCGGAUUAAUUCGAUGCAGCGCGUAGAACCUUACCUGGGUUUGACAUGGAUCGGGAGCGCUCAGAGAUGGGUGUGCCUCUUUUGGGGUCGGUUCACAGGUGGUGCAUGGCUGUCGUCAGCUCGUGUCGUGAGAUGUUGGGUUAAGUCCCGCAACGAGCGCAACCCUUGUUCACUGUUGCCAGCACGUUAUGGUGGGGACUCAGUGGAGACCACCGGGGUCAACUCGGAGGAAGGUGGGGAUGACGUCAAGUCAUCAUGCCCCUUAUGUCCAGGGCUUCACGCAUGCUACAAUGGCUGGUACAGAGAGUGGCGAGCCUGUGAGGGUGAGCGAAUCUCGGAAAGCCGGUCUCAGUUCGGAUUGGGGUCUGCAACUCGACCUCAUGAAGUCGGAGUCGCUAGUAAUCGCAGAUCAGCAACGCUGCGGUGAAUACGUUCCCGGGGCU